rnacentral:rRNA from 1 species
CAUAAAAGGUCCUGCCUGCCCAGUGACCCUGUUCAACGGCCGCGGUAUUAUGACCGUGCAAAGGUAGCGUAAUCACUUGUCUUUUAAAUAAAGACCAGUAUGAACGGCAAAACGAGGGCCUAACUGUCUCACUAGACCCGUCAGUGAAAUUAAUCUUUCAGUGCAGAAGCUGAAAUAUUUAUAUAAGACGAGAAGACCCUGUGGAGCUUUAAACCUUAAGCUAAUAUAAAUUAUACUAUAGCACCCGGUUUUGGGUUGGGGCGACCAUAAGAAAAAAUAAACUCUUAAGACACCAACAAGAGGGACACUUCAAAUAAAUAGUAAUACUAAUAUAUUGACCCAAUAUUUGAUCAACGAACCAAGUUACCCCAGGGAUAACAGCGCAAUCCACUCACAGAGCCCAUAUCGACGAGCGGGUUUACGACCUCGAUGUUGGAUCAGGACCACCUAAUGGUGCAACAACUAUUAAAGGUUCGUUUGUUCAACGAUU